rnacentral:rRNA from 1 species
UAAAGCGGGUGAAAAGCCCGCUCGCCGGAAGACCAAGGGUUCCUGUCCAACGUUAAUCGGGGCAGGGUGAGUCGACCCCUAAGGCGAGGCCGAAAGGCGUAGUCGAUGGGAAACAGGUUAAUAUUCCUGUACUUGGUGUUACUGCGAAGGGGGGACGGAGAAGGCUAUGUUGGCCGGGCGACGGUUGUCCCGGUUUAAGCGUGUAGGCUGGUUUUCCAGGCAAAUCCGGAAAACUAAGGCUGAGGCGUGAUGACGAGGCACUACGGUGCUGAAGCAACAAAUGCCCUGCUUCCAGGAAAAGCCUCUAAGCAUCAGGUAACAUCAAAUCGUACCCCAAACCGACACAGGUGGUCAGGUAGAGAAUACCAAGGCGCUUGAGAGAACUCGGGUGAAGGAACUAGGCAAAAUGGUGCCGUAACUUCGGGAGAAGGCACGCUGAUAUGUAGGUGAAGUCCCUCGCGGAUGGAGCUGAAAUCAGUCGAAGAUACCAGCUGGCUGCAACUGUUUAUUAAAAACACAGCACUGUGCAAACACGAAAGUGGACGUAUACGGUGUGACGCCUGCCCGGUGCCGGAAGGUUAAUUGAUGGGGUCAGCGCAAGCGAAGCUCUUGAUCGAAGCCCCGGUAAACGGCGGCCGUAACUAUAACGGUCCUAAGGUAGCGAAAUUCCUUGUCGGGUAAGUUCCGACCUGCACGAAUGGCGUAAUGAUGGCCAGGCUGUCUCCACCCGAGACUCAGUGAAAUUGAACUCGCUGUGAAGAUGCAGUGUACCCGCGGCAAGACGGAAAGACCCCGUGAACCUUUACUAUAGCUUGACACUGAACAUUGAGCCUUGAUGUGUAGGAUAGGUGGGAGGCUUUGAAGUGUGGACGCCAGUCUGCAUGGAGCCGACCUUGAAAUACCACCCUUUAAUGUUUGAUGUUCUAACGUUGACCCGUAAUCCGGGUUGCGGACAGUGUCUGGUGGGUAGUUUGACUGGGGCGGUCUCCUCCUAAAGAGUAACGGAGGAGCACGAAGGUUGGCUAAUCCUGGUCGGACAUCAGGAGGUUAGUGCAAUGGCAUAAGCCAGCUUGACUGCGAGCGUGACGGCGCGAGCAGGUGCGAAAGCAGGUCAUAGUGAUCCGGUGGUUCUGAAUGGAAGGGCCAUCGCUCAACGGAUAAAAGGUACUCCGGGGAUAACAGGCUGAUACCGCCCAAGAGUUCAUAUCGACGGCGGUGUUUGGCACCUCGAUGUCGGCUCAUCACAUCCUGGGGCUGAAGUAGGUCCCAAGGGUAUGGCUGUUCGCCAUUUAAAGUGGUACGCGAGCUGGGUUUAGAACGUCGUGAGACAGUUCGGUCCCUAUCUGCCGUGGGCGCUGGAGAACUGAGGGGGGCUGCUCCUAGUACGAGAGGACCGGAGUGGACGCAUCACUGGUGUUCGGGUUGUCAUGCCAAUGGCACUGCCCGGUAGCUAAAUGCGGAAGAGAUAAGUGCUGAAAGCAUCUAAGCACGAAACUUGCCCCGAGAUGAGUUCUCCCUGACUCCUUGAGAGUCCUGAAGGAACGUUGAAG